UGUGGACGUUACCAAACUGUUGCCUCGGCGGGGUCACGCCCCGGGUGCGUCGCAGCCCCGGAACCAGGCGCCCGCCGGAGGAACCAACCAAACUCUUUCUGUAGUCCCCUCGCGGACGUAUUUCUUACAGCUCUGAGCAAAAAUUCAAAAUGAAUCAAAACUUUCAACAACGGAUCUCUUGGUUCUGGCAUCGAUGAAGAACGCAGCGAAAUGCGAUAAGUAAUGUGAAUUGCAGAAUUCAGUGAAUCAUCGAAUCUUUGAACGCACAUUGCGCCCGCCAGUAUUCUGGCGGGCAUGCCUGUCCGAGCGUCAUUUCAACCCUCGAACCCCUCCGGGGGAUCGGCGUUGGGGAUCGGGACCCCUCACACGGGUGCCGGCCCCGAAAUACAGUGGCGGUCUCGCCGCAGCCUCUCCUGCGCAGUAGUUUGCACAACUCGCACCGGGAGCGCGGCGCGUCCACGUCCGUAAAACACCCAACUUUCUGAAAUGUUGACCUCGGAUCAGGUAGGAAUACCCGCUGAACUUAAGCAUAUCAAUA
rnacentral:rRNA from 1 species